AGUGAACGCUGGCGGUAGGCCUAACACAUGCAAGUCGAACGGCAGCACAGUAAGAGCUUGCUCUUACGGGUGGCGAGUGGCGGACGGGUGAGGAAUACAUCGGAAUCUACUUUUUCGUGGGGGAUAACGUAGGGAAACUUACGCUAAUACCGCAUACGACCUACGGGUGAAAGCAGGGGAUCUUCGGACCUUGCGCGAUUGAAUGAGCCGAUGUCGGAUUAGCUAGUUGGCGGGGUAAAGGCCCACCACGGCGACGAUCCGUAGCUGGUCUGAGAGGAUGAUCAGCCACACUGGAACUGAGAAACGGUCCAGACUCCUACGGGAGGCAGCAGUGGGGAAUAUUGGACAAUGGGCGCAAGCCUGAUCCAGCCAUACCGCGUGGGUGAUGAAGGCCUUCGGGUUGUAAAGCCCUUUUGUUGGGAAAGAAAAGCAGCAGGUUAAUACCCCGCUGUUCUGACGGUACCCAAAGAAUAAGCACCGGCUAACUUCGUG
rnacentral:rRNA from 1 species